GGAGCGGUGUCCGAGUGGCUUAAGGUGCAGUCCUGGAAAGACUGUGUCGGUUAAUAGCCGACCGAGAGUUCGAAUCUCUCCCGCUCCGCCA
rnacentral:tRNA from 1 species